UACGUAGGGGGCAAGCGUUUGUCCGGAAUCAUUGGGCGUAAAGCGCACGUAGGCGGUUCGUUAUGUCGGAUGUGAAAGCCCUUGGCUUAACCGAGGAAGUGCAUCCGAAACUGGCGAGCUAGAGUACUAAAGAGGAUCGCGGAAUUCCCGGUGUAGAGGUGAAAUUCGUAGAUAUCGGGAGGAACACCGGUGGCGAAGGCGGCGAUCUGGGUAGAUACUGACGCUGAGGUGCGAAAGCGUGGGGAGCAAACAGG
rnacentral:rRNA from 1 species